UACAGAGGUCCCGAGCGUUGUUCGGAUUCAUUGGGCGUAAAGGGUGCGUAGGCGGCGGGGAAAGUCUGAUGUGAAAUCCUGGGGCUCAACCCUGGAACUACAUUGGAUACUUCCUUGCUAGAGUACUGGAGAGGAAACUGGAAUUUACGGUGUAGCAGUGAAAUGCGUAGAGAUCGUAAGGAAGACCAGUGGCGAAGGCGAGUUUCUGGACAGUUACUGACGCUGAGGCACGAAGGCCAGGGGAGCAAACGGG
rnacentral:rRNA from 1 species